GCCUAGCUAGCUCAGUUGGUAGAGCGCCGGUCUCAUACGCCGGAGGUCGGUGGUUCGAGUCCAUCGCUUGGCAC
rnacentral:tRNA from 1 species